UAAAGAUGAUGCAGGUUCUGUUAAUCUGUUUGUUUUCAGAUAUGGAAGAUCUGAACCGCUGCUCCUUCGCUUCUUGAUGUAGGAUCUCUCUAUAUGCAAGCACUGUGUGAGUCUUCCCUUUAAAACUUUGAGCACUGCAUAAAUUCUGCUGGUCAAGAGGCUCAGACUGUUAUUUCAAAAGGGGAUGCAAUCCUGAGGCACAACAGCAGUAAAUGAACGAUGCUCCUCCCAUAGCAACAGAAUUCCACGGAUUACCAUACAGCACUCCCUCAUCAUUCAAGACUGUUUCAUGUGUACCUCAAAGAAUUGUGUAGUGCACCAUCUACAGAAAUACUACAGAUUACGCAGACUGUGGAAACAGGCAGGUGCUCAUCUCAUCAUCCUGCUGAACAUUUAAGACACGCCUGGAAUGACAGCCACCCAUCAGCUCUUGGGAAAAACAAACAACCCCAAAACCACAUCAUUACAAAUGGACUUUGCACCAGAGAGGCUUUAACAUGAGAAAUAGGUGAUGGCAGUGGGAGACGUGCUUGAAAG
rnacentral:lncRNA from 1 species